rnacentral:rRNA from 1 species
GAUGAACGCUAGCGGCAGGCUUAAUACAUGCAAGUCGAACGGUAAGUUUGGUAGCAAUAUCAAACCAAGAGUGACGUACGGGUGCGUAACACGUAUGCAACCUACCUUGCACAGGAGUAUAGCUCGGGGAAACUCGAAUUAACCCUCCAUGAGAUCACAGUGUGGCAUCACACAGUGAUUAAAACUCAGGUGGUACAAGAUGGGCAUGCGUCUGAUUAGUUAGUUGGCGGGGUAAUGGCCCACCAAGACGAUGAUCAGUAGGGGACCUGAGAGGGUGAUCCCCCAC